rnacentral:rRNA from 1 species
CACACCGCCCGUCACACCAUGGGAGUGGGUUUCACCAGAAGCAGCUAGCCUAACCGCAAGGGGGGCGGUUGCCACGGUGAGAUUCAUGACCGGCGUG